rnacentral:rRNA from 1 species
UACAGGGGGUGCAAACGUUGCUCGGAAUUAUUGGGCGUAAAGCGCGCGUAGGCGGGGAGGUAAGUCGGGUGUGAAAUCCCUCGGCCCAACUUAGGAACUGCGCCCGAGACUGCUUCUCUUGAGUCCCGGAGAGGAAGAUGGAAUUCCCGGUGUAGCGGUGAAAUGUGUAGAGAUCGGGAGGAACACCGGUGGCGAAGGCGGUCUUCUGGACGGUGACUGACGCUGAGGCGCGAAAGCGUGGGGAGCAAACGGG